rnacentral:rRNA from 1 species
UUACCUUCGGGUAUUGAGGAUGGCGGACGGGUGAGUAACGCGUAAGGAACUUGCCUCUUGGUCUGGGACAACUGUUGGAAACGACAGCUAAUACCGGAUAUUAUGAGAUUCUCGCAUGGGAAACUUAUGAAAGCUAUAUGCGCCAAGAGAGAGCCUUGCGUUCCAUUAGCUAGUUGGUGGGGUAACGGCCCACCAAGGCGACGAUGGAUAGCCGGCCUGAGAGGGUGAACGGCCACAAGGGGACUGAGACACGGCCCUUACUCCUACGGGAGGCAGCAGUGGGGAAUAUUGGACAAUGGGCCACAAGCCUGAUCCAGCAAUUCUGUGUGCACGAUGAAGGUCUUCGGAUUGUAAAGUGCUUUCAGUUGGGAAGAAGAAAGUGACGGUACCAACAGAAGAAGCGACGGCUAAAUACGUGCCAGCAGCCGCGGUAAUACGUAUGUCGCAAGCGUUAUCCGGAUUUAUUGGGCGUAAAGCGCGUCUAGGCGGAAAAAUAAGUCUGAUGUUAAAAUGCGGGGCUCAACUCCGUAUUGCGUUGGAAACUGUUUUUCUAGAGUACUGGAGAGGUGGGCGGAACUACAAGUGUAGAGGUGAAAUUCGUAGAUAUUUGUAGGAAUGCCGAUGGAGAAGUCAGCUCACUGGACAGAUACUGACGCUAAAGCGCGAAAGCGUGGGGAGCAAACAGGAUUAGAUACCCUGGUAGUCCACGCCGUAAACGAUGAUCACU